AGGGUAGUAGUUAAGUAUAACAUUUGGUUUGCAUCCAAAAAGUAUUGAAUUUCAAUCUACCUUA
rnacentral:tRNA from 2 species